rnacentral:tRNA from 1 species
AGGGGAGUAGCUCAAUUGGCAGAGCACCGGUCUCCAAAACCGGGGGUUGGGGGUUCGAGGCCUCUCUCCCCUGCCA